rnacentral:rRNA from 1 species
UACGUAGGGUGCGAGCGUUGUCCGGAUUUAUUGGGCGUAAAGAGCUCGUAGGCGGUUUGUCGCGUCGGCCGUGAAAUCUCCACGCUUAACGUGGAGUGUGCGGUCGAUACGGGCAGUCUUGAGUUCGGUAGGGGAGACUGGAAUUCCUGGUGUAGCGGUGAAAUGCGCAGAUAUCAGGAGGAACACCGGUGGCGAAGGCGGGUCUCUGGGCCGAUACUGACGCUGAGGAGCGAAAGCGUGGGGAGCGAACAGG